ACUCCGGAAUAGCCUUUCGAAAGAAAGAUUAAUACCGGAUAGCAUACGAAUAUCGCAUGAUAUUUUUAUUAAAGAAUUUCGGUUAUCGAUGGGGAUGCGUUCCAUUAGUUUGUUGGCGGGGUAACGGCCCACCAAGACUACGAUGGAUAGGGGUUCUGAGAGGAAGGUCCCCCACAUUGGAACUGAGACACGGUCCAAACUCCUACGGGAGGCAGCAGUGAGGAAUAUUGGUCAAUGGGCGCGAGCCUGAACCAGCCAAGUAGCGUGAAGGAUGAAGGCUCUAUGGGUCGUAAACUUCUUUUAUAUGGGAAUAAAGUUUUCCACGUGUGGAAUUUUGUAUGUACCAUAUGAAUAAGGAUCGGCUAACUCCGUGCCAGCAGCCGCGGUAAUACGGAGGAUCCGAGCGUUAUCCGGAUUUAUUGGGUUUAAAGGGAGCGUAGGUGGAUUGUUAAGUCAGUCGUGAAAGUUUGCGGCUCAACCGUAAAAUUGCAGUUGAAACUGGCAGUCUUGAGUACAGUAGAGGUGGGCGGAAUUCGUGGUGUAGCGGUGAAAUGCUUAGAUAUCACGAAGAACUCCGAUUGCGAAGGCAGCUCACUAGACUGUUACUGACACUGAUGCUCGAAAGUGUGGGUAUCAAACAGGAUUAGAUACCCUGGUAGUCCACACAGUAAACGA
rnacentral:rRNA from 1 species